rnacentral:rRNA from 1 species
UACAGAGGUCCCGAGCGUUGUUCGGAUUCAUUGGGCGUAAAGGGUGCGUAGGCGGCGGGGCAAGUCUGAUGUGAAAUCCCGGGGCUCAACCCCGGAACUGCAUUGGAUACUGGGAAGCUUGAGUCCGGAAGAGGUGAGUGGAACUCCGAGUGUAGAGGUGAAAUUCGUAGAUAUUCGGAAGAACACCAGUGGCGAAGGCGGCUCACUGGGACGGUACUGACGCUAAGGCGCGAAAGCGUGGGGAGCGAACAGG